AUUGAACGCUGGCGGCAGGCCUAACACAUGCAAGUCGAGCGAGCGGCGGACGGGUGAGUAAUGUAUGGGGAUCUGCCCGAUAGAGGGGGAUAACUACUGGAAAGGUGGCUAAUACCGCAUACUAUUGGAGCGGCCGAUAUCGGAUUAGCUAGGUGGUGGGGUAACGGCUCACCAAGGCGACGAUCCGUAGCUGGUUUGAGAGGACGACCAUCCACACUGGUACUGAGACACGUCCCAGACUCCUACGUGAGGCAGCGGUGGGGAAUUUUGGACAAGGGGGGAAGCCCUGUUCCAGCCAUCCCGCGUGGGCGAUGAGGGCCUCGGGUUGUAAAGCACUUUUGGCAGGAAAGCGGUACCUGCAGAAUAAGCACCGGCUAACUACGUGCCAGCAGCCGCGGUAAUUC
rnacentral:rRNA from 1 species